rnacentral:rRNA from 1 species
UGGGGGAAUAUUGGGCAAUGGGCGAAAGCCUGACCCAGCAACGCCGCGUGAAGGAUGAAGGUUUUCGGAUUGUAAACUUCUGAUCUGUGGGAAAAAACAAAUGAUGGUACCACAGGAGAAAGCUCCGGCAAACUACGUGCCAGCAGCCGCGGUAAUACGUAGGGAGCAAGCGUUGUCCGGAAUGACUGGGCGUAAAGGGAGCGUAGGUGGCCUUUUAAGUGAAAUGUGAAAGCCCGGGGCUCAACUCCGGAAUGUCAUUUCAUACUGGAAGGCUGGAGUGCAGGAGAGGUAAGCGGAAUUCCUAGUGUAGCGGUAAAAUGCGUAGAUAUUAGGAAGAACACCAGAGGCGAAGGCGGCUUGCUGGACUGUAACUGACACUGAGGCUCGAAAGCGUGGGGAGCAAACAGGAUUAGAUACCCUGGUAGU